AUUGAACGCUGGCGGCAUGCCUUACACAUGCAAGUCGAACGGCAGCACGGGAGCAAUCCUGGUGGCGAGUGGCGAACGGGUGAGUAAUAUAUCGGAACGUGCCCAGUCGUGGGGAUAACGUAGCGAAAGCUACGCUAAUACCGCAUACGAUCUAUGGAUGAAAGCGGGGGAUCGCAAGACCUCGCGCGAUUGGAGCGGCCGAUAUCAGAUUAGGUAGUUGGUGAGGUAAAGGCUCACCAAGCCGACGAUCUGUAGCUGGUCUGAGAGGACGACCAGCCACACUGGGACUGAGACACGGCCCAGACUCCUACGGGAGGCAGCAGUGGGAAUUUUGGACAAUGGGCGCAAGCCUGAUCCAGCAAUGCCGCGUGCAGGAUGAAGGCCUUCGGUUGUAAC
rnacentral:rRNA from 1 species